rnacentral:tRNA from 1 species
GCCCUGGUAGCUCAACAAUUAAGCUCUCUGCUGCUAACUGAAAUGUUGGUGGUUCGAACCCACCCAAUGGCU